rnacentral:piRNA from 1 species
UAGUGCCGAACCAAUGCUUUCUUGUGUC